AGAGUUUGAUCCUGGCUCAGAUUGAACGCUGGCGGCAUGCCUUACACAUGCAAGUCGAACGGUAACAGGGAGCUUGCUCCGCUGACGAGUGGCGAACGGGUGAGUAAAGUAUCGGAACGUACCUUUCAGUGGGGGAUAACGCAGCGAAAGUUGCGCUAAUACCGCAUAUUCUGUGAGCAGGAAAGCAGGGGAUCGUAAGACCUUGCGCUGAUUGAGCGGCCGAUAUCAGAUUAGCUAGUUGGUGAGGUAAAGGCUCACCAAGGCGACGAUCUGUAGCGGGUCUGAGAGGAUGAUCCGCCACACUGGAACUGAGACACGGUCCAGACUCCUACGGGAGGCAGCAGUGGGGAAUUUUGGACAAUGGGGGCAACCCUGAUCCAGCCAUGCCGCGUGAGUGAAGAAGGCCUUCGGGUUGUAAAGCUCUUUCAGCCGGGAAGAAAUCGCACAGGCUAAUACCUUGUGUGGAUGACGGUACCGGAAUAAGAAGCACCGGCUAACUACGUGCCAGCAGCCGCGGUAAUACGUAGGGUGCGAGCGUUAAUCGGAAUUACUGGGCGUAAAGCGUGCGCAGGCGGUUUUGUAAGACAGGCGUGAAAUCCCCGGGCUCAACCUGGGAACUGCGCUUGUGACUGCAAGGCUAGAGUACGGCAGAGGGGGGUGGAAUUCCACGUGUAGCAGUGAAAUGCGUAGAGAUGUGGAGGAACACCAAUGGCGAAGGCAGCCCCCUGGGUCGAUACUGACGCUCAUGCACGAAAGCGUGGGUAGCAAACAGGAUUAGAUACCCUGGUAGUCCACGCCCU
rnacentral:rRNA from 1 species